rnacentral:rRNA from 1 species
AAGCCCGAUGCAGCAACGCCGCGUGCGCGAUGAAGGCCUUCGGGUCGUAAAGCGCUUUCGAAGGGAUGAGGAAGGACAGUACCUUCGGAAUAAGUCUCGGCUAACUACGUGCCAGCAGCCGCGGUAAAACGUAGGAGGCAAGCGUUAUCCGGAUUUACUGGGCGUAAAGCGCGUGCAGGCGGUGCCAUAAGUGGGAUGUGAAAGCUCCUGGCUCAACUGGGAGAGGUCGUUCCAGACUGUGGCACUAGAGGAUGGUAGAGGGAGGUGGAAAUUCCGGGUGUAGUGGUGAAAUGCGUAGAUAUCCGGAGGAACACCAGUGGCGAAAGCGGCCUCCUGGACCAUUUCUGACGCUCAGACGCGAAAGCUAGGGUAGCAAACGGGAUUAGAGACCCCGGUAGUCCUAGCUGUAAACGAUGUAGACUUGGCGUCGGUGGGUUUAAAUCCAUCGGUGCCGCAGCCAACGCGAUAAGUCUACCGCCUGGGGACUACGGCCGCAAGGUUA